rnacentral:tRNA from 1 species
GGGCGCGUAGCUCAGCGGGAGAGCGCUUGCUUCACACGCAAGAGGUCGCAGGUUCAAAACCUGCCGCGCCCACCA